rnacentral:rRNA from 1 species
AUUGAACGCUGGCGGAAUGCUUUACACAUGCAAGUCGAACGGCAGCACGGACUUCGGUCUGGUGGCGAGUGGCGAACGGGUGAGUAAUGUAUCGGAACGUGCCCAGUCGUGGGGGAUAACGUAGUGAAAAUUACGCUAAUACCGCAUACGAUCUAUGGAUGAAAGCGGGGGAUCGCAAGACCUCGCGCGAUUGGAGCGGCCGAUAUCAGAUUAGGUAGUUGGUGGGGUAAAGGCCCACCAAGCCAACGAUCUGUAGCUGGUCUGAGAGGACGACCAGCCACACUGGUACUGAGACACUGUCCAGAUUCCUACGUGAGGCAGCAAUGGGGAAUUUUGGGCAAUGGGCGAAAGCCUGAUCCAGCGAUUCCGCGUGCAGGAUGAAGGCCCUCGGGUUGUAAACUGCUUUUGUACAGAGCGAAAAGGUUUCUACUAAUACUAGGAGCUCAUGACGGUACUGUAAGAAUAAUCACCGGCUAACUACGUGCCAGCAGCCGCAGUAA